rnacentral:rRNA from 1 species
CUGACAUGCGUGCGAGUCGACGGGUUCUGAAACCUGGGAUGCGCAAGGAAGCUGACGAGCGGGAGGCCCUCACGGGCCGCACCGCUGGCCGACCCUGAUCUUCUGUGAAGGGUUCGAGUUGGAGCACGCCUGUCGGGACCCGAAAGAUGGUGAACUAUGCCUGAGCGGGGCGAAGCCAGAGGAAACUCUGGUGGAGGCUCGAAGCGAUACUGACGUGCAAAUCGUUCGUCUGACUUGGGUAUAGGGGCGAAAGACUAAUCGAACCAUCUAGUAGNNNN